CCUACGGGUGGCAGCAGUGGGGAAUAUUGCGCAAUGGGCGAAAGCCUGACGCAGCGACGCCGCGUGAGGGAUGAAGGUCUUCGGAUCGUAAACCUCUGUCAGCAGGGAAGAACGGUCACUGUGCUAAUCAGCAGUGAAUUGAUGGUACCUGCAAAGGAAGCACCGGCUAACUCCGUGCCAGCAGCCGCGGUAAUACGUAGGGUGCGAGCGUUAAUCGGAAUUACUUGGCGUAAAGCGCUCGUAGGCGGUAUGUCAAGUCAAGGGUGAAAUCCCCGCGCUCAAGGUGGGAACUGCCUUUGAAACUGGCAAGCUGGAGUGUGUGAGAGGAUAGUGGAAUUACAGGUGUAGGAGUGAAAUCCGUAGAUAUCUGGAGGAACAUCAGUGGCGAAGGCGACUAUCUGGCACAUAACUGACGCUGAGGAGCGAAAGCGUGGGUAGCAAACAGGAUUAGAUACCCCAGUAGUC
rnacentral:rRNA from 1 species